rnacentral:rRNA from 1 species
GGGUCUAACAUGCAGUCGAACGGCAGCACAGAAGAGCUUGCUCUUUGGGUGGCGAGUGGCGGACGGGUGAGUAAUGUCUGGGAAACUGCCCGAUGGAGGGGGAUAACUACUGGAAACGGUAGCUAAUACCGCAUAACGUCGCAAGACCAAAGUGGGGGACCUUCGGGCCUCACACCAUCGGAUGUGCCCAGAUGGGAUUAGCUAGUAGGUGGGGUAAUGGCUCACCUAGGCGACGAUCCCUAGCUGGUCUGAGAGGAUGACCAGCCACACUGGAACUGAGACACGGUCCAGACUCCUACGGGAGGCAGCAGUGGGGAAUAUUGCACAAUGGGCGCAAGCCUGAUGCAGCCAUGCCGCGUGUAUGAAGAAGGCCUUCGGGUUGUAAAGUACUUUCAGCGGGGAGGAAGGCGGUGAGGUUAAUAACCUCGCCGAUUGACGUUACCCGCAGAAGAAGCACCGGCUAACUCCGUGCCAGCAGCCGCGGUAAUACGGAGGGUGCAAGCGUUAAUCGGAAUUACUGGGCGUAAAGCGCACGCAGGCGGUCUGUUAAGUCAGAUGUGAAAUCCCCGGGCUUAACCUGGGAACUGCAUUUGAAACUGGCAGGCUUGAGUCUCGUAGAGGGGGGUAGAAUUCCAGGUGUAGCGGUGAAAUGCGUAGAGAUCUGGAGGAAUACCGGUGGCGAAGGCGGCCCCCUGGACGAAGACUGACGCUCAGGUGCGAAAGCGUGGGGAGCAAACAGGAUUAAUAUUUUUGU